rnacentral:rRNA from 1 species
UACGUGAGGGGCGAACGUUGUUCGGUGUCACUGGGCUUAAAGGGUGCGUAGGUGGUUGCGUAAGUAAGGUGUGAAAUCCCUCGGCUUACCCGGGGAAUUGCAUUUUAUACUGCGUGGCUUGAGGACUAAAGGGGAAAAGGGAACUCCAGGUGUAGCGGUGAAAUGCGCAGAUAUCUGGGGGAAGGCCGGCGGCGAAGGCGCUUUUCUGGUUAGUACCUGACACUGAGGCACGAAAGCGUGGGGGAGCAAACAGG